AUUGAACGCUGGCGGCAGGCCUAACACAUGCAAGUCGAGCGGGGUUUUCGGACCUAGCGGCGGCCGGGUGAGUAAUGCGUAGGAAGCUACCCGAUAGAGGGGGAUACCAGUUGGAAACGACUGUUAAUACCGCAUAAUGCCUACGGACCAAAGUGUGGGACCUCAGGGCAACAUGCUAUCUGAUGCGCCUACGUGGGAUUAGCUAGUUGGUGGGGUAAUGGCUGACCAAGGCGACGAUCCCUAGCUGGUUUGAGAGGAGGAUCAGCCACAAUGGGACUAAGACCAGGUCCGGACUCCUGCGGGAGGCAGGAGUGGGGAAUAUUGGACAAUGGCCGCAAGCCUGAUCCAGCCAUGCCGCGUGUGUGAAGAAGGCCUUCUGGUUGUAAAGCACUUUCAGAAGGGAAGAAGAGUGUUAUGUUAAUAGCACAGCAUUUUGACGUUACCUACAGAAGAAGCACCGGCUAACUCUGUGCCAGCAGCCGCGGUAAAAC
rnacentral:rRNA from 1 species